UGAUGCUUUCUGAACUCCAGAUCAGACUCAACUUCAGCUCUUUCAUUUACCCAGACUCAAGACCAUCACAGGAUUUCCAAAGGACACAAUCUCCAGAUAAGGCUCUUUGAUUUGCACAAGCUCAUUCAGCAUGAGAUCAGCGGCCCCCCUCUUGCUCCUUUUCAUUCUGGCUCUCAGUGAUCAAGCACAUUGUCAAAACUUUACUGAAUUUAAGAGGAAACACAUCCUUCCAGUUGAGUUUAAUACCAAGGAUGUAUGUGCUUGGAGGAAGUAUCUAUUGAACAAUGAACUCUGUGGAAGAACUAAAACACAAUCGUUCAUCAAGAGCAGUGUGGAAAAUGUAAAAAAAAUCUGUACCGAUAUAGUAAAUAACUGUACCAAAAGUACAGAUCUCUUUGAAGUGUACAUUGUUGAAAGCCCUGGGAGAAAAGAAAAACCAGACUGUAUUGGAAAGUGUACUUCAGGCAAAUAUAAAGUUUUUGUUAAAUGUGAGUACAAUCUACCUGUGCAUUAUUAUGAUCAACUCACGGAUGAGAACACAAGUCCUCAGCCUUGCUUUUAAAGAGCAUGAUCUGAUUUCAUCACAGUGAGGAUCUGAAGGAGGAGGCUUUGAAAUGUUGCUUUUAACCAUUCAUUAAAAAUGUUGCUAUGCUACGUGCUUAAAUUGGAUAUAAAUUCAAAAGCAUCUUAAUAAAGUUUUUUUUGCGAGCAGUUUUGUAAAAUAUACAGGUAUCAAAUGUAAACCCUGAAUCCAAUGUAAGUCACUUUGAAUAAAAGCAUCUGCCAAAAGCAUACAUGUAUGGUUACUGUUAUUUUGUGAAAUUAAAUUGAUUAUCUUCAGUGUAUGACAUACUGUAAAAU